rnacentral:tRNA from 1 species
CAGUAAUUAGUUUAAUUAAAAUAUAACAUUUGGAUUGUUAAGUUUUUUUACUGA